AUUGAACGCUGGCGGCAUGCUUUACACAUGCAAGUCGAACGGUAACAGGUUAAGCUGACGAGUGGCGAACGGGUGAGUAAUGCAUCGGAACGUGCCCGAUCGUGGGGGAUAACACUUCGAAAGAAGUGCUAAUACCGCAUACGAUCUGAGGAUGAAAGCGGGGGACCGUAAGGCCUCGCGCGAUCGGAGCGGCCGAUGUCAGAUGAGGUAGUUGGUGGGGUAAAGGCUGACCAAGCCGACGAUCUGUAGCUGGUCUGAGAGGACGACCAGCCACACGGGGACUGAGACACGGCCCAGACUCGUACGGGAGGCGGCAGUGGGGAAUUUUGGACAAUGGGCGCAAGCCUGAUCCAGCAAUGCCGCGUGCAGGAAGAAGGCCUUCGGGUUGUAGACUGCUUUUGUACGGAGCGAAAAGGCUCCCUCUAAGACAGGGGGCUCAUGACGGUACCGUAAGAAUAAGCACCGGCUAACUACGUGCCAGCCGCCGCGGUAA
rnacentral:rRNA from 1 species